rnacentral:misc_RNA from 1 species
UGGGCUUGACAUGCAUCUCUAACCCGGUGAAAACCGGCGAGCCCCGCAAGGGGCAAUUUGCACAGGUGCUGCAUGGCUGUCGUCAGCUCGUGUCGUGAGAUGUUGGGUUAAGUCCCGCAACGAGCGCAACCCUUAUGAUCUGUUGCUAACGGUCCGCAAGGAUCGUGCACUCUGAUCAGACCGCCCUGUGAAACGGGGAGGAAGGUGGGGAUGACGUCA